UACGUAGGGUCCGAGCGUUGUCCGGAAUUAUUGGGCGUAAAGAGCUCGUAGGCGGCUUGUCGCGUCGGUUGUGAAAGCCCGGGGCUUAACCCCGGGUCUGCAGUCGAUACGGGCAGGCUAGAGUUCGGUAGGGGAGAUCGGAAUUCCUGGUGUAGCGGUGAAAUGCGCAGAUAUCAGGAGGAACACCGGUGGCGAAGGCGGAUCUCUGGGCCAUUACUGACGCUGAGGAGCGAAAGCGUAGGUAGCGAACAGG
rnacentral:misc_RNA from 1 species